AAAUGAAAGAAUUUAUCAGACCUCUCACUUUCUCACUGAACUAAAAAGAACUUGGGGAAGAACACGAUUGAUGAAGUAAAAAUCACUGAAAAACCAAGCAAAAAUCUUUCUCACGGAUUUCUUCAUCUUCAUGAACUAAGUGGAAUUCAUGUGAUAUUGAAAGAAUGGGUAAGAAAAGAGUUCAUAGUUAAGAAUCAUGGUCAAUGAUAUUAGAGCAUGAUAAAAUUGAAAGUUUGGAAGUUUUUAAAGAGGAUCAAGACGAAUGGACAGUUGAUUUGUCUUGGUUGUUUAUAGGUAACAAGUUUGCUUCUAGUUCACAUAGCAGGAUUUAUAAAGGAAUUUACAAAGAAAGAGAAGUUCUUUUGAUAAUGGUGAGGAUUCCAACUCAUAAGGAGGAAACAGGAGCUAAGCUUGAACAACAGUUCAAGGCUGAGGUUCAUCUGCUUUUGCGUUUGUAUAAUCUCAACAUUUUGCAGGUUGCAGUUCCUUUACAAUACAGAAGGAUGAUUUUUUUAAUCUUUUAUUGUUUUUACUUGUAAUGUUAUACAUUACAAGUAAGCUACACUUUCUUGUUCCUUGUAAUGAUAUAUAGGCGUACUAAAUUCUUUUCGACUUCCUAUGGAAGAAAGAGUGUUAUCUUCUGUUGUGGAUAUAAGAGAAAUAGUUGCUAGGGUUAUAUAUAAUUAUAUACUGUGGCAUACGUUGUCUAUUUCUUUUUAGUAUGGUUUUGCCUCACAGGAAUGUCGAGGAACAUUGAAUUUGCUUCUCAUUCUAUUUGUUUUCCCUUUUCAUUCAAUAUGUCUCUUUCAAAUUUUCCUCACUUUGAAAAUCAACUGGCAUUUACAUCUAUAUUGAUUUUUUCUGUGGAUUCAAGGAGAGGGUCUGUAAGUUUUUAACAUGAAUGAUUGUUGGAAUUACUUCUAGUUCUUGUGUCAGAUUCAUAUUAUGCCUGUUGCGGUUCAUAAGUAUAUAUACUAGCUUGUUCUUCCUUUCGUUUUGGAUUAUUGGAGAUGGCUUUUUCUUUUUAUAUGACUUUUUGCUGCUAGAAUGGCUUAGAUUUAAAUAUAUUUUCGUUUACCUUGAAUAUGCAGUUGUAUUAGCAUAUAGGAUUCCCUUACCACAUUUAAAUCACAUUCAAAUAUUUUUUAUAAGAAGGUGAAUAAUCAGCUUCAUGUUUCUUUUGAAGCAAUUAGAAUCUUUAGAGAGCAAAGGACAAGAAGUUGUGUGUGAGUUGACUGGUUAAUUGGUUUUGAGUUUAGAUCAUCUGUAGGUGUUUUAGUUCCUAUAUCUCUCACCGAGGCAUAUUUUAAUGGUUAUUAACACUUAAGCGCAUCUUAAUCGAUAUUUACGAAACUGAGACACCUUGUUGUAGCUGUUAUCCUCUGUAAUCUGGUUUGACACUACACUUUAUGUUUUUUCACUACCUUUAAAUGUAAGCUGGUACAUAUACAUAGUAUCUAAUCUGUUUCAUUUUCCUUCAGUGACACAUUUCUUUAAUGGGUGUUUGAUUCUUAUCUAAUAUCUUCUCCACAUUAAGUAGCUUAAGCAUAUUUAUUCAGUUUGUCGAGUGAGUAAACAACUCUUGCUACAUUUCCUUUGCGAUUUUUGAACUAUUGUCUGUGUGCAGGUUCGUUUCCCUCUUUGCUUCUUUAUAUGUCCAUAUCCAAUGUUAGUUAAUAAGCUUCUAUAUAUUCUCAAAAUAUUUGCUUUUUUAGAAAUUUAAUGAUUUUCAUUGUUCGGUAUUGAGUUUGUAUUGUUGGACGACUUCUAUUGCAGCUUGAGGAAUGAGAACAUUUCAUUUGCCUGUGUGUUAUAUGAAUGUAAACUAGAGUAGACUCAUUUUUUUGGUAAGUAAUGAAAUAUAAUACUCACUUAAGAUGUUGGAAUCAGCUUAUAUGAGAAAGAAAGACAUGAUUGAGUUAACAAAAAUGUGGUCGUACCACUCCAACAUGGAAACCAAACAGAAGUUGCACUAGAAUGAGUAGGAAUGAAUUUUGAGGCUUCUUUUUCUGCAUGCUGGUAGAACAUUUAGUUGAUUCUCAAAGUUGUAGUCAUUUCCCUAAGUUAGCUUUCAUGAACUUACUGCAAACUUAACUUUUAUUCCUUCUAGUUGCAAGAACUAAUUAGGUAAUAUCUUCUUAGAGACAUCAUCUUUUACUCGACGUGAUUUACAUCAUCCACAACUUAUAUCUAGAAGUAAUAUCAUCACUAAGUUACAUGUUUCUGCUAAGCUGUGGAAAGGCACCCUCUUUUAGGCUUUUACACCGUAAUAGAAGUUGAAUACAAGUAGUUAAAGGAAUAAUCUCUUCUCAUGUCGCAUUUCGGUUUACAGGUUUUAGUUUUUAUUUUGUUCCAUAUGUGAAGUAAGUUUGGACUAAUACACAAAGUGUAGGAGAUAACAAUUUUCUGGAUGGAGGUAGGAGAUACCCCUUCAAUUAUCAUGGUGCACGCGAUCUAGCCUCAGUACCGUUGUAAAAAAAGAAGAAGAAUUUGAUCCAACUAGUAAGAGAAAUAUAAAAGAUCUUAACAGAAAAUCGUGAGACCUCAUUUUUUAAGAUAAACAAAAGCAGAACUAACAACAAUAUCAGCCGGUGAUAUUCUAAUUGGACAUUAACAUACAACAACACUACUACACCUCAAUCCGAAAAAAGUUGGGGUUGACUAUAGGAAUUCAAAGACCUUAUAAAUUUUUCAAGAGAACUUCCUUCAAUGAUAUUUUAGGUCUCCACUCACCAUGAUUUAACAUUCAGGGUCUAGCACCUCUUGAGGUUAUCACACAGAGAAUAUGAAACAAAUACAGGAGGCUUUGGCUACACCAAUUGGUGCAACAACUGAUUUUGAUGAGGAUGAAUUAUAGGCAGAACUUGAAGAAUUUGAAGGUGCUAAAUUAGAAGAGCAGCUACUUCAGGCAGCAACUACAACUCCUGCUUCUCCAGUCCAUGUUCCUGCAGGGAAGAAACCUGCUCGGCCUAUUGCUUAGAAGCAUACAACUGAAGAAGAUAAACUUGCUACGAUGCAAGAAGAGAUGACUCUUUGAGCUAGUCUAUACAUUAUUUUAACCUGUAGUUAUAAUUACCAACCAAUAUGAAAUUAUACAUGUCUAUGACUUUUCACUAGUAACUUACUGAUUGGUGAAAGGUGAGCUCCUUCUUUUGAUAGAUGUCAUUAAAAGACAUACAAAUAUUUUUUAUAUGAAUUGUUGGAAUGCUUACUUACAUUUGCAUA